AUGACUACCUCGUCGUCAGGGAGCGUGGAGACGUCGGCCAAUUCGAGGCCCGGCUCCUUCUCCUUCGGGAGCGCGAGCUUCACUGAAAUGCUGGGCGGCUCCGCCGCGGCCGGCGGUGCGUCCGGGUACAAGGCCCUGACCCCGCCUUCCCUGCCGCUCUCGCCUUCGCUCAUGUCCCCGUCGUCCUUCUUCAGCAUGCCCGCCGGCAUGAACCUCGCCGACUUCCUCGACUCCCCGGUGCUCCUCACCUCCAGCAUCUUCCCGUCACCCACGACGGGCGCGUUCGGGUCGCAGUUCAACUGGCGGCCGGAGGCGCCGACGCCGAGCGCCGCCGAGCAGGGCGGCAAGGAGGAGCAGAGGCAGCCCUACUCCGACUUCUCGUUCCAGACGGCGCCGGCGAACACCGAGGAGGCCGCGCGUGCGACGACGACUAGCUUGCAGCCACCGGUUGCAGUGGCGUCACAGGGGGAGGAGGCGUACACAGGCCAGCAGCCGCCGCAGCAGCAGGCGUGGGGGUACGGCCAGCAACAAGAAGGCAUGGACGCGAGUGCCUCCAACCCGGCGAGCUUCAGCGCGCCGGCGCUCCAGGCGACCUCGUCGGAGAUGGCGCCGGCGGGCGCCUACAGGCAGACGCACUCGCAGAGGCGGUCGUCGGACGACGGGUACAACUGGCGCAAGUACGGGCAGAAGCAGGUGAAGGGGAGCGAGAACCCCCGCAGCUACUACAAGUGCACCUUCCCCAACUGCCCCACCAAGAAGAAGGUGGAGACGUCGCUGGAGGGCCAGAUCACCGAGAUCGUCUACAAGGGCACGCACAACCACGCCAAGCCGCUCAACACGCGCCGGGGCUCCGGCGGCGGCGCGGCCGCGGCUCAGGUGCUGCAGAGCGGCGGCGACGCGUCCGAGAAUUCCUUCGGCGCGAUCGUCACGACGCCCGAGAACUCGUCGGCGUCCUUCGGGGACGACGACAACAACGGCGUGAGCUCGCCGCGGGCUGGCAACGACAACGACGAUGAUGAGCCGGAUUCCAAGAGGAGGAAAGACGGUGGUGACGGCGAGGGAAUCAACAUGGCCGGCAACCGGACGGUGCGGGAGCCGAGGGUGGUCGUCCAGACCAUGAGCGACAUCGACAUCCUCGACGACGGGUACCGGUGGAGGAAGUACGGGCAGAAGGUGGUGAAGGGCAACCCGAACCCGCGCAGCUACUACAAGUGCACCACCGUGGGGUGCCCCGUGCGGAAGCACGUGGAGCGCGCGUCCCACGACCUGCGCGCCGUGAUCACCACGUACGAGGGCAAGCACAACCACGACGUGCCGGCCGCCAGGGGGAGCGCCGCGCUCUACCGCCCCGCGCCCCGGGCGGCGGACAGCACCGCGAGCACCGGCCACUACCUUAACCCGCAGCCGUCCGCCAUGGCGUACCAAACCAGCACGGGAGGCCCCAACGUCGCCGCCGCCGGGACGCAGCAGUACGCGCCGAGGCCCGACGGGUUCGGCGGCCAGAACCAGGGCUCGUUCGGCUUCAACGGCAGCUUCGGCUUCUCCGGGCCCGGGUUCGACAACCCGACGGCGUCGUACAUGAGCCAGCACCAGCAGCAGCAGAGGCAGAACGACGCGAUGCACGCGUCGAGCGCCAAGGAGGAGCCGAGGGAGGAGGACAUGUUCUUCCAGAACUCCCAGUACUGA
rnacentral:rRNA from 1 species